rnacentral:rRNA from 1 species
UACGUAGGUGGCAAGCGUUGUCCGGAUUUACUGGGCGUAAAGGAUGCGUAGGCGGACAUUUUAAGUCAGAUGUGAAAUACCCGAGCUUAACUUGGGUGCUGCAUUUGAAACUGGGUGUCUAGAGUGCAGGAGAGGUAAGUGGAAUUCCUAGUGUAGCGGUGAAAUGCGUAGAGAUUAGGAAGAACACCAGUGGCGAAGGCGACUUACUGGACUGUAACUGACGCUGAGGCAUGAAAGCGUGGGGAGCAAACAGG